rnacentral:rRNA from 1 species
UACAGAGGUCCCGAGCGUUGUUCGGAUUCAUUGGGCGUAAAGGGUGCGUAGGCGGCUUCCUAAGUUUGAUGUGAAAUCCCGGGGCUCAACCCUGGAAUUGCAUUGAAUACUGGGAGGCUAGAGUACUGGAGAGGAAACUGGAAUUACGGUGUAGCAGUGAAAUGCGUAGAGAUCGUAAGGAAGACCAGUGGCGAAGGCGAGUUUCUGGACAGUAACUGACGCUGAGGCACGAAGGCCAGGGGAGCAAACGGG